GCUCUGAAGCCCGGCUGCCAUUCGAUGCCUGACGGCUUCUCCUACCAACGCACACUAUUUCCAGGGGCUCUGGGGAACUGGAGUCAGAUGGAGCCAUGGCCCACCAAGCGGCAAGCAAGGGGUGCUAUGUGAAACCGUUUCUCUAUCAAGCCUGCCCCCCCUGCCCACUGCUGGGAUCUGCUCAGAAGGGACCUCAAGAAUUAUGGGAUCCACCUGUACCAGCCAAGCCUGCUGCCAGGACCAGCCCUGGGCACCUGGCCCAAGGCAACACAUUUUUAGGUGCUUAGAUGCUCUGAAGGAUGACUGCCACACUGCCACUCCAUGUUUAAAACAUCGGCAUACUACCAUUUCUCUCAGGAAACCUCAUGACCAGAGGAACCCUGGAGCCUGUGUGUUAAGUCUCAAGGAAAAGAAAAGCAAUUGCAAAAUGGGAAUGGAAGCCUUGGUCCGUCUGGUGUUUGUUUGAGCACUGUCAGGCAGAAAAAGAAGGCAAGAAGUCUACAUGUGACGCUGGAGACUUCCUGGUCCUGCUGCUGCCACACUACAAAAUUGAGAUCACUGGCCCAGUGAUGAUGAUUUUCUCACUACUGCCACAGUUGCCUUGAGAAGCUCCCACCGAAGAAGCCAGAACCAGGAGCUGAGAGACUGGAGGAGGCAAUGCUGUCUCCUCCUUGCUCACAUUUGAGCAUAACAUCUCUGCAGAAUCUCUCACUUUCAAAUAUUCCAUUCACAUGGCUCAAGGAGUGAUAGGACUGACUCUACCAGUUGUCUACCAGUUCUGAAGGCCUCUUAGAGCUCAACAAUCCUCCAUUCCCUGUGUGAAUAACUGGCAGAGGGGAGAAGCAGGCUGGAACUGGAAGGGAAGUUGAAAGGACCCAUGCAUCUGUGGAUGAGGGGAUCACAGCCUGUGGCAGAGCACCUCAGCCUCCCUUGCUCUUGGAUGUAUUCAUCACACUGAACCCACAGCCCCAUGUGGGAUGCAGAGUAAUGCCCACUGCAUAUGUACCAACGAAGUUACAGACACCAAGAGAGACUUUUCAUUGAGCAAGUUCUGCCUUUUGGCCAAAGUAGACACACUUAAUGACUGCCACAUAGUAAGUCCUCCUCAGUCUUUGGGCGAAGGAACUGGAAAUGAGAUUUCAAGAGCUGACCAGACCAAGGUAGGAAGCUGAGUUCCGAUGCAUACUUAACAGGCACGUAUCGUUACUGCCAGUAUUUCUGCUGUGUCAGUUGGACUUGGAAGACACACUUGAAACUAAUACAGUCUGUAUUCCAAUAUUUGCUUUGAUCUAUUCUCAUGUUCUUCUCUGUGGGGAUCUCUGAAAUGCCUCUAAAGUCUCACUUCCGAGUCAGCAUAUAAGCAAUUAAACAAUUGUGGAACUGUCUGGCAACAGUUACUUGAAAAUAAUUAUUAGCUUUCUUGACUGGAGGUCUUGAAUCAAAUUAAUAUCUCAAAGAAUUUUUGGAUGCAUCUUGCAUGCUCCUUAAGUACUGUGUUUUUUGGUUAACGAAUGGCCUUGUAGAUCCUGCCUGUGAAGCCAAGAGUCCUGCAAGCAGAAAAGUUUAUUUGUUUCAGCAGAAGGAAGGAUAGGAAGUGGAAAUUAAUUCUGGGCCAACUUGUAUUUGGACUGGAUUUUCAGCCACUUUAAAAGUGAAGCCAAAUACAAUGCAGAAGGGCAGUCUUUGACCCAACGAAAAUACAGCUAUUCGUCCAUCCACGCCUACGCAUGGCUGAAGUUAGAUAGUCCCCUCCAGUCUCACCAAUGUUCUAAUUAAAAAAAAAUAUGCAGGGCUUACAUUCAAUUUAGGCUUGUAGAAUUUUAGGCCAAAAGGAACUAGAUCAUAUAGUGUAACCUGUAAGUCACAGGCUGUUAAAUUUUACUCAGUUGCCCUGUUGAGCUCAAUAAUUUUUAUUUGACUCAAACAGUUUGUGCAUUGGCUUCCAGUAAGGCAAGCAAUCUCUGUUUGAAUGACAAAGAGGCAGAAGACUAUUAUUUUUGUUUAUGUGGCUGAAUGCAUAUGUUGAUACGUGUACGUUCUGCUUUAGUAUCUGAGAACUAUGUCUUAGUUGGGGGAUACAAUCCUGCAAGUAAAUAGGUGUAACCAUUACGCAGAUGACAAGACUCACAACAUGACUGGUAUUUUGCCAUGGAGAAGAGUAGGGGAAAGAUGAAGGGAAGGAAUACACACAAACACAGGGCUGGUUGAGCUCUCCCUCGCACACACACACUCCUUUCAAGGUUUCCACUUAAGAAAUAAACUGAACAAGACCUGUUUUUUUUUUGUUUUUUUUUUUUCUUUUUAAUGAAUCCCCUAAUUUGCAAAAAUACCUCAGAUAUGUAAUGUUUUCCAAACCACAGUUUAAAGGCUUACAUAAUUAACACAGCGAUAUAAAUCACUGCUAUUCUAGCUGGGAGAAAAAAAAGAUGUGGCUAGUGUUAAAAUGAGAUUCAAAACCAGCAAAGUGAAUGAAUGAAUUACUCAGGCACAUUGUUUACGCUGAUUUGAAUGUUUUUGUUGUAUUAAUUUCAGCACAGGUCAAUUAGUAAACUAACUAAAAAUAAAUUAUAACUGCUGAUAUCUAAAUUCAAAAUACAACCGACAUCAUUUUGGCAAACUAAUUGACUGCUCUUAAAGGUUAGAAAAUAAAGGCUUCACUUUUAACAGAAGUGGGAUGGCUUAUAUUUUGUACCUUAUACUUUAAAUCUUUUUAGCAAUCGAAGCAUAAUUUGCUGUUUCACUGAUACCCCACCUAGGCUUUAGUAAACACUACAGAGCAUGCAGAGUGCUAUGAAUCAGUGCAGCUAAAUAGCCACUGGAGAGCAGUCUAAAAGCUACAGUUAAGCAUACUGAUCAUAGUUCAGCUUUAUACCAACAUAUUUUUAACUCAUACUGUAUUUCAGUUGCUUGUAUUUAUGCAUUUUCUGCUGGUCUGGCCAGCUAUUGUUUUCUAGUUUCCUUCCUUACGUCUUGAGUAGACUAAAAUAGUCCCCAGAACUUCUGGAGGAAAUUUUUUAGAGCUCCAUCCAGUAAAAGCUUGAUACAAAGCCAUUUAGCUUAAUGAAAGUCUUUCCACUGACUAAAGUAGUUUGCUUCCAACCUCAUGGUUCACAGGCACACUGUUUAAAUGACUACAAUGAAGCUUUUGUUGGUGAAAUUACGUAUCUAUGUUAUUUCUUUUUAUUCAGUGUGCCAAGCAGUGUUUUGGUUACCAUAAUUUUUGUUGAUUAUCUCUCUGAACUUGAGAGACAGGCUGCUUCAAAGCUCCAUGACAGCUCAGGAUAGGUUAAAGAUGGACUGCAGUGUUUGCUAUGGGGCUCUGGUGCCCAGUCCGGGGCUACAAUCCUUUCUUAAGCCAGGGCAGGUGCUACAACCUGGGACAAGCCUGAUCACGUCAGUUGUGUUGAAGACUGAGACACCUAGAGAACGAAUCUAAAGGAAGAUACCAGCCAUCCUCUCCUAUCAUGAAAAAGGCAAAGCAGAUAUCCUACUUAUUUAUAGCUAGAAAUCCAAUUUGAUUUUAAAAUGAGGUUUUGCUUAUCCUGGGUGAAGUUUGCACCUACCGGAAAUUUACCGGAAUAAAAAAAACUGGUUAAAAAGUGUGUGCAAAGUCCUGCUUGGAAAAAUGGGGACCUGCAAAUAUAUCUGCAUGUCCCUUUCUGUAGAGAUCCUAUUCUGUUCACUGUACACUUCUGGCCAUCCCAUCUGACUGAGUGGGAAGUUUCAUUGGAUGUCAAGAUUGGACCUUUAUGUGAAGAAUAAUGCAGACUAACAGUGAAAGUCCAACGGCUUAGGAAUACAAUAACAAUUUGGUGAAAAGUUCCAGGAGUCUCUUAUGGGCUUUGUCAGACCUCUGUGGUUUCUGUUUAAAACUACAGCAGAUUUUUUCCAGUGAAGCAUAGCAGCUGAAUACGCUAGCCCCGUGUGCAGAGUGGGAGGUUUCUCACAUUUCCACCUUGCAGUCAAAAAGUUUUCUGGCAGUGAGAAGUGCUAAUUUAACAAAUUUCUUUCCAGUGCCUUUUUGCCAACAGGCAACCAGAAACAUCCCCAGGUAUUCAAAGCAGAGGUGAUGUUGGGAAUGGAAAAAGGCAAACUUUAUCCCAAGUAGCUUCAGGCCGCUCCGGAAACUUUGUCCUGGGAGUCCCUGCUGGAUUCUGCACAAAGUCAGUACAUGGCUUGGUACAAGUAUGUGUUUAAAUGUUCAUUCAGUUGCCAUUACAGAGGAAAAAAGAAUCUGUACCAUUUUGGGUGAGACUCCUGAAUGUGUGACACAGAAAGCCCACCUUGGUUAAUCCGCUUUCUCAUGUGUAUGUUUCCUUUUUGUUCUUUUUGAUCUCCCAAUAGCCAACAGAGUGCUCAUCCAAGAGUGGUGACAGGAGCUUUCUGCGAGUCUAAUUAAAUGUCUUUCCCUGAUUGGCUCAGUGCUUUUAAUAUCUUAAUUUGAAAGGCAGGGUGUGAUUGCAAAAGCAUACCCUUCUACCCAAGUCAUAGGGAUUUUUGUACAGACUGACCACUGUUGCUUGCUUGCCCAGAAAAGACAGCUCUUCAGAGACUUUCUUGAAGGAAAGGAAAACAGGGUGGACUAUGAACAGAGUGGGAUUCAAAGAGAUUAACAAUCAGAAUUAAGCAGAUUCCUCCGCUAACCGUCUGGCUUAGCCACCCCAAUGGACAAGUUGAUCCAGAAAGCAGAGACACUACCUCAUACUCUAUAACGCAUGAGUCAGUGAAAGCAUUUGACAAAGAUGAUCAAGUAAUUAUAAUCUCCAAAACUGUCAGACUUGCUGGUAGGGUCAGUGGUAUGACAGUCUUAGCUGAUGCUGUCACUUCCUCACACAUAUGGGCCAAUUGUGUCACCAAGGCUAUAGUCAAACACUUCAGCAUGAUGGCUCAAGUGUUGCCAAACAUCUUUCCUUGUAGCUAACUAUGAAAAAAUGUUGGUUUCAGUAGUCAUGUAGAGACUGUAAUUAAAAUACUGAACUUUUUGGAUCAGAUUCUCUGGUCGUCCCUUGCUGGUGGACAGCCUAAUGUGGGCAAUGGACUGCAAUGAAAGGUGAUACAAUUUCUGUUGCAUUCACAGAGCUUAUGGGAGUAGCACUGGAGUCAAUGAAACAAAGAAAACGUGUCAGAAAAUUUGGUCUCUGGAGCCUACAGAUGCCAGAAAUGAGAGUAUUGGAAAUCCUGCUCCUCAUCUGCUUUACAAAACAAAAAUCACACCCUCAUUUCUUAUGGCCAUAGCCUUGAGAUUAUGAGAUAGUUAAAACCAGUAGUUGAAGUUGGCAAUAUAUAUUUGGGACUUUUUUUUCCUAAGACUGUGGCUUAUCAGUGAUAUUUCUUACAUCAGCACAUGGCUGUCCUUUAAAAUACAUUAUGGGUCUGUUAUCUGGGCAACUGCUCAGGAGUUUGCUCUUUUGGUCGUGUGGCAAAUGAAUAAUAGACGCUUUUAUCUGGAUUGUAAGGACUCCAUACUGCCCUCCACAGGGGGUAGGCGAGCUUGGAUUUGGUGCCACUGCGGAACCUUGGAUCACUGCUGCAGAAAAUGAUGAGUGAGAAAAAGCUGUGUGAUGCAGGGGUCUGGUCCUCUUUGCUUAGGAGCUCUGUUCAAGCUAAGGCAUUCACCUUUGCCACCCUCCUUGAGCUGAACUGCAGGUGUGCCUGUGCCUGGCUGUGUUUUUGACACUGACUCCGAAUUGUGAACCUGAAAUCUCAGCUUGAUCUCAGUUCUGCCUCCUCACUACGGGCUUCUCUGGUGAUCUGGAUGUGGUCAACCCUGGUUGCCAUCCCAAGACCUGCUCUGCUCUUCAUUAUUAGGAGCUGUAGUAUCACAGGCCUUGUUGAUGAGGCUUGCCACCACCUUGCCAGCCUGGCUGUCAUCCUCUGCUCACUGCCUCACCCUAGCUUCUUCCUGAAACUGAGAUCGUUGUGUUUGUCCAGAUGUCAAAUUUAUUGAUCAAACAAAAGCAAUGGAGUCUCAAGCAAUACGGAAGUGGCAAAAUGGGUGAGGCAAGACCAAUCACUGGGACUCUGCUCCCUGUUUUCUGUUUACAGCUCUGCUACCUAUGCAUGAUGCCUUUUCCCCCAGAUAAAAAGAAUCCUCUAAGAACAGAAUAAACCUCUGGCUGCAAUAGGAAUAUGUAGUGCUGUCUAUGAGAGUUUGCCUGCCACCUGAAAUAUUGUGGUCAAGAUCUCACUCCUUUCAAGAUAUUGUAGAUCUGGAAGCAAUCCUGAAGCAUCAAGUAUGAUGUCACUUGUCCAGGCUAAGCUCAGUUAUAGCAGGUUGUUCCUGAUGCAGAAGACUGUCCUGGUCCUUCAUUCCUGGACAGUAUCAUCCUUUCUUAUGCUAAAAGAUCCCACUUUUUCCUACCUUUCCUUCCAUGUCACGUUCUGUGGAUUUCUGUUAAUUUUUAUGGCUCUCUGUCACCCUCUCAAUAACCAGCACCAAACACAGUGCCCAUGUUGAGAUAAUAACACCAAAUAAAGAAUCGGGAAUGCCCAGCGUGUUCACAGAUUGUAUACAUGUAUCUAUGUUGCGCUUACCCAUUUUAACAACAAUGUGCUGUUGAUGAUUACAUUACAAGCUUUAAACUCCUUUCAAUAAAAAUGAUCCCUAUCUUCUUUUUUUGAACUUGGUAAGUUCCCCACAAUUGCAGGAUUUUGCAUUUGUCCCUGUGUUCAUUUCAUUUUAUUCCUUUCUUUCCAGACCAUUUAUUUAUUUUAUCAGGACCAUGUCUGGCAGUCUUUUUGAUUUCUAAUCUAAUUUAUUUGCACUCUCCAUCAGCUUCAUGGAGAUCUCAGUUCCGUUCUCUAAAUUGUUUAGAAAACACCAUCUUGUAUAGGUCAGACAUUCUAUGGGCUCUGGGCUCUUGACAAUAUUUGCCCUUCCAUUUUGACAGCGAAUUAAUGUUAUCUGCUGUAUCAGUAUGAUUUUCCAGUUGAUUCUGCACAUAUUUGAUAUUAGAUUCUUUCAAACCUGCUUUCCUUGCUUUGCUCUUUCAAAGAGCCAUUGUCAACAGCGUUGAGAACAUAUGGAUUAUAGGUGUGGUACUCAAAAGCAAACAAGAGUUUAUAUCUAUUGUGAGAACAUAACAUACAACAAUUACUGGUUUUCCUUCCAUCCACAGGUCCACUCAAUAGCUAAAUAAGGAAAUUAAUUUGGAUCUUGACAAAUCCAUAGAUUUAUUCAAAAAUCCAGGCGUGCUUUUUUUCCUUCCUUUGUAAUCCUUGCAAAUUGUCACCAAAAGUCACUUUUGGCUAUUUCUCCAUAACUCCAAACAACUGAGUUAAACUGGCUAAUCAGUAAUUCUUUGGCCUCCUUUUCAAGGUAUGUCAUAUUUGCUGUUAUCUGCUCUUGCAUACCUCACCCGAAAGUCAUGUAUUCUGUAAGACCACCAUCAAUGGUUACAAGAGGAGAUCACUCAGUUCAUGAAGUAUUCCAGGAUGAAAGUCAGUUCUUUGGACUCAACAAAUUUGAAAAUGCGAAGCCAAGCAAAGUGCUCUCUAACCUAUCUCUGCUCUGUAUGAGGGACAGAUUAUUUCCUUUGCUAUUGAUUUUAAUUGCAAAAUCCACUUCUUAGGGAAUAUUGAUUAAAAAAAAAAAAGCAUUAUGUAUAUUACCUUCCAAUGUCAUCUGCUAGUAGGCUUUCCCUUCUGUUUACAAGUUCACUAACCCUGCUUUUCCUAUUCAUUUUCCUAUAUCACUGUUAGAAUGAUUUCAGUAGCCAAGGUUUCUAGGAAUAGAAAAUAGAAAAUGUCAUUUUCAGCCUUGGCCUUCCUGAUGAUCUGUGUGCUGUUGAAAAUCUGUCUUUUGUACUCCGUUAUACUUCCUAGUUCCUGUAGAAUUUCCUCUAAUGUAUGGGAUCAAAAUGACCUAACCAAUCUGAUUGCUUACUCCCUGCUUAUCUUCUGCAACUGGAAACUUUGCACUUGCAUCUUUAAUACCAUUUCUUUAAAGUUAUGUGAUUUCUUUCAAUUUCCCCUUUUACCUCGGAUCAGUCUUCCAGGAAAUCUUACCUAAUGACCCUCUGGAUAACUUAAAUCUGCCCUCCUGAAAUCCUGUUGCUUUUACUGCAGCGUUGCCUCUUUCCAUAUGAAGGAAAUGUGAAUUCUGUCAUUUCCCCAUCAUAGACACCUGAGAUACUCUUUGACCGGCCCCACUCUGUGCCUCUGUUUGUUGGUUUGAAUCCAGCACUCCUCUGUGGCAAACCAAAAGAAAGGCUGCAGGGGUCUGACUCUGUCAGCACCUAGCAAACAGUUAAUGCAUUGUAAUAGGGGUAAUAAAGGAGUAAUUUUAUGUAUCGUUCUUCUGGUAUUGGUCACAACUAGUCACAGAAUGCUUUAUGCCAGGCACAGGAGCCUGUGAGAGUGCUUUUACUCGCUUGAAAUAUGCAUGUUAAAAAUAACAGCAUUAAUUCUUACCUUACCACUUCACCACAAAUAAAUGUAAAGGAAUAUAUAAAGAGUGUGAAUAGCGUAUAUCUAGCCAAAUACAUGUGUUGUUACAAAAAACUUAGUUUCAGCAAUGUUAAGAGUCCCCUCUGGUCCAUAUCUUGGGUUUCUCUUAUGCUCUGCUACCGAUUUGUUCUGUGACUGCAGAGACAACUUGUAAAAGCAACCACUGACAUUUUGACCAAUUUUCUAAGAGAAUAAUCCAGACUAGGGGACAGUGAAUUGAUUUUUUAAUUUCCCCACUAGAUUUUUUACAACAUACUUCUUACUCUGCUCCUGUUAUGGCACUGAGUUCAGUGACAAGGCACACUCACUUACUGCCUCAUUGCAGUUAAUUCUUUGAAUAGUUAAUGCUUGCUUUAUGUGAAUUUUCUUAACAGACACCACACCACUCUAUGGUUGCAUUGUUCUUUUCCCGAGGUGGUCUUUUUUAUAGUGUGAGAAGUACAACACUGUUGUUUUCUUUCCUGAUUAGAAGUCUUUUGGACAAGAUUUAUGCAGGGAUUUGUGUGUUUAUUGGCCUAUAUUUGUGUAAGGCCAGGAGAAGGAAGAGAACCCCUGUGACUGUGUUUCGAUGGCUUUCCAGAGAAACAGUUUAUGAUGUCCUCAUUCUGAAUAGAACAGCUAUUUGAAAUAGCCUUAACAGGGAUCAACAGCAUGCGUAAGCCCUGGUUUGUUCAAAUUUACUCCCCGUAAGGCCUUAUCUCCAGGCACUGGCUCCAAGGCUCAUGACCAAGAAAGAUCUCCCAAGUCCUCGUGUUUCUGCUCCGCCUGCCAUUGCUGUGUCAGAGCACUGAGAACAUGGGUCACUACACGUGCCCUCAGAUAUUCAAGUCAACAGUUCAGAAAAUAAAUAUGGAAACUGACUUCCCUUAACUUCCCACUCUUCAUUUCUUUUUACUACAAAUGAGAUCUGCCCCUCUUUCCCCUGUGACUUGCUACUCUCUAACACCUGCACCUCCUUUCAUGUGCUGGAUCUCUCCUGGACUCUCUACCAUUUCAUCUUUCACAUUCCUUUCCAGAUCUCCCCAGAUCUGUGAAGCACACUGUUGUUUUCCACUGUUAAAUUAAAAUAACAAAGUAGAAAAAGAGAAAUAAACCCUAAGUGUCUUACUUUCUUCUAGGCCUACUGCAGCUCCCGUAGUUGCCUGCCAGUAUGAACUAAAAGCCCCUCAAGAAGAGAAAGUCUCUUGGAUGUAUUACUCUGUCCACUGCUGGCUCCCUGAACCAUCCCCUUAUGGGAUAUGAACGACACCUCAAUGUCACUAUGGACUUCACUGCCACGGACAGGAUGCAAAGUAUUUGUUAGCAAUAGGCAGGCAACUGAAAUUGAAAGUAAGCAAAGAACCAGAGCUCUUGCUUGAGUACAUCUUUGACAGAGUUCACAGAUGUAGAAGUUGCUUAAACUGUCCGAAGUGGGUCAUUCUGAAGAGCCUCAGAAAGGAGGCAAGUCACCAGUUUUUCCCCAUUACAGAGUGAUACAGAGAAUGAGAACUACAUUUGGUUCACCAGCAAUUUGUAACUCCUGUCCAGAGCAGGGUAUGCUAAUAAAACGUCAACUUUCAUUACAGCAAAAUAUGCCUAAGCAAUGCAGAGAAAGCAUGUCUGCUAUGAAUGACACUAUUAAUGAAAUAGUACUAGGGAUGCUAUUGUUCCACAGUGAGAAAAAAGGCUGUUUUAAAUUGGCAAUUUCUACUUCUCGAAGUAAAGCAAGAUUACUUCAUCUCUGUAAGUAUUAACAAUGGGUUCAUACGAGAUUCUUAAACCUCAAAUAACUACCUUUUCAAAUCCCAGUCAGCAACAUGGCCAAAACCCCAUACAAACACUGAGGUCCUCGGGAUUGCAGUGCAGUGCGGUAUUCAAGCAGUUUGUGUAUGUUCUCCUUCCUUUUUCCUUUUCCUUAGUGCUUAAUAUGGUAGUUUUUUGCAAUCUAAUAUACUUCAGCCUUUUCCUCCUAUUAUUCCUUUCUUCCUUAUUCUCAGCAAGAUUUAUUUUCUCUUUACUUUUCUCUCCGUUUUCUUUUUGCUCGUUUCCAUUAUUCCCUAGUUUGGCCAGUUUGGCAUCAAUCAGCAGUGCUCUCCAUCCCUCUUUUCACAUGAUAUAUAUAUUUAUCCACCACCAAAAAGCAAAUUUCACUGCAUCUGUUCUGUACAUCUUUCUCACCAGUUCCUGGGGUGGCAGUGUUCACUUUAACACAAUACAGGCUAUGGCACGUGCUAUUCAUUUUUGUUGCUUCAGGUCUUGUCAGUUUAUUCACUCGUCUUAAAACUUUUACUGGUUGCAAGCUUCUCCUCUUACAGGGAUUCAAGGGGGUUGAGGGUGCAUGUGUAUGUCUAUCUGCUGUCUCCUCUUCGGUGAGGGCUUUGCCAAUUUUAGCAGCCAGAGUCGGGUCUACACAGACGCAUGAAGAAGUGAUUAUGGUGUCGGCAGACAUAGCUUUAAGUUAGGUAGCACACGUAAUGGUACAGGUGCUGGAGGCAGGAAGAAAGGCAUAACUGCAGGCUAGCGCCCAGAGUACAUAUUAACCCCCAGAUCCCUGGGGUAGCCCAGUUUUCAGCCUAUCCUGAAAAACGUUGCAGUCUGUCAUGAACUGCUGUCAACACCAGAGCAACUUAGGUAAAACCCAGUACCUGUGCCACAAUCGAGCCUUCAGUCUCGUCUGUAAAUGUACCUUGGAAGACUAUGGUGACAGAACAGUCUUUGUGCGUUUAACCUGGAAUGUGCUCCAGUGCAUGCCAGGGGCAGAUUUAGAAGGAUUAUGGUAGCUGGCUAACAGUAUCUCUAACUACCAGUGCCAGACUUAUAAAUGGAACAGAAAUUUAAACAGGUUCAAGACUUUUUUUUUUUUUUUUUGCUGCAGUCAGCUGGAACCUGAACUAGGCUACAUCCUGUCUGGCUUCAUCUGCCUGCUUCUAGUAUUAGUAUUGACUAAAAAUACCAGUAUAAAUCCUGCAAAAGUGAUCUCGGCACAGUCUGACUGAGAUGCUCUCCUUACAAAAGUAACACAAAUUGGCAUAUUUCAUCCUGAAUCUCCUCACUCUGUGAGGAGUGCAGAUUCUGGGUACAAAGUCAAUUGCUCUGAGCAGAGAAAGAGCCCAGGGUACUUGUCAUCUAAGAGUACAGCCGUGGGUCAAGGUAAUCUUUCAACCAAUGUAAUUGAUUAAUCAUCUGAGUUAUGAAAGGUGUGAGCAGGCUUCCUCCUUUAGCAGAGUGCUUUGGAGAUUAAGUCAAGAAAAAUGCCACAUUUGAAAAACAGGUCUUGUGGGUUCUUGGACAAACAGGGGUAGACAAAAUUCUGUUUGGAGAGUGACCAAAAAAAGCCUCUUAAAUGCACAUGAAAGCUGAGCGAUGGGAGCUCCUGACCUAGCCUAGCUUCAGGCCCCGCGCUGUCAGCACCUCUCAUUGAUUUGUUGAGCAGCAUUCAGAAAGAAGACCAGCUUUGCUUUGGAGUACAUUUAACAGACUGCCAACAAAAGCUAAAAAUGAUGAACUUUUCUUGCCGUAAAAAUGACAUUUUUGAAUGUAGCUCACGGAGUGCUUUAUGAAGCUCUGAUCUAGGAGGAGAGGGAAUUAUCUAUUUUAAAAAGAAAGAAAACUUGCUCCUAAUUUUCUCCAAUGUCAAAUCCUAAAUUACUAAAUAAAAACAAGUUUUGUGCCUUACUCCUAGCAUAAGGAGUUCUAUA